CUUCCGGGCCUGCUGCCAUGUGGGCGGGUGGUGGGGCUACCUCCAGCUGCCAGUCUGGGAACCGUCAAACCUUGCCCCCCGGACCCUUAAUGACAGUCUGUUAAUGACUCUUCUGCUGGUGGAGCUGAAACUGCGGUUCCCCGGGGCGGGUACGCGCACAGAUGGUGUGGGGGUCCCAUUGGCUGCGUCUAGUCUCUGAGCUCCCUUAGGUCUGCAGACGGGCUGAGGGUGUACCACAGCCAUGGCUCAGCCACUGACUUUAGUCCUCAAUGUCCCAGAGACCACAGAGGACGAAGACAGCCGGGAGCCCAGUCCCUAUGAAGAGAGUGAAGUCCAUGACUCCUUCCACCAGCUCAUUCAAGAGCAGAGUCUUCGGGUGGCGGCCGAGGAGGGGCUGGAGCUGCUGCCCCUGGCUCCAGGCAGAGGUUACCAGACCCUCCCAAGGCCUGAAGGUGCCCCUGCCCACAGCAUGGCCACUCUCCGCAUCUUGGCCAGCAUGCCUAGUCGCACCAUUGGCCGCAGCCGUGGGGCCAUCAUCUCCCAGUACUACAACCGCACGGUGAGGCUCCGGCACAGGAGCAGCCGGCCCCUGCUGGGCAAUGUGGUACGCUCUGCCCGGCCCAGCCUUCGCCUCUAUGACCUGGAGCUGGACCACACACUCUUAGAGGACGAUGAGAAGCGGAGCCUGCUAGUGAAGGAGCUUCAGGGUCUGUCGGUGACCCAGCGGGACCACAUGGUCCGGAACAUGCCCUUGAGCCUGGGUGAGAAGCGCUGGCUUCGAGAGAAAAGUUGGAGCCCAAAGGGAAAGCAGAGGAGCCCACAGGGCCGAGGUGGGGUCUUUUCCUGCUGCACCAGGCUCAGAUACAGCUGCAUUCUGGCCCUGCACAGCCUGGGGCUGGUGUUGCUCUCAGGUCUGUAUGCUGCCAGGCCAUGGCGCUAUGCUCUGAAGCAGAUCGGCGGCCAGUUUGGCUCCAGUGUCCUCUCCUACUUCCUCUUCCUCAAGACCCUGUUGGCCUUCAACACACUGAUGUUGCUGCCUCUGCUGGCCUUCCUCGUGGGAGUGCAAGCUGUCUUCCCACCUGACCCGUCAGGCCCGGUCCCUACCUUCUCUGGUCUAGAACUCCUCACAGGCGGGGGCUGGUUCACACACACCGUCAUGUACUACGGCUACUACAGUAACACCACGCUGAGCCAAUCAUGUGCCUCCCCAUGGGAAAGUGGCCAGUGCAGCCCCAGGUUGGGCAGUCUGCCCUAUAACAUGCCACUGGCCUACCUCUUCACAGUGGGGGCUGUCUUCUUUAUGACCUGCAUCACUCUGGUAUACAGCAUGUCCCACUCCUUUGGGGAGAGCUACCGGGUUGGCAGUACUAAAGGCAUCCACGCUCUUAUGGUCUUCUGCUCCUGGGACUACAAGGUGACUCAGAAGCGGGCCUCCCGUGUCCAGCAGGACAGCAUCUGCACUCAGCUGAAGGAGCUGCUGGCUGAAUGGCAGAUGCGAAAGCGCCCCCGGAGCGCGUGUGGGCAGCUGUGGCAGGUGGUCGUGCUAGGCCUGGGAUGGCUGCUGUGUCUGGGCACCACGAUGGGCUGUGCAGUGGCUGUCCUCACCUUCUCGGAGGUCAUGGUUCAGAGAUCUGCUGCUGGUGACCAGGGGUUGGAGCUGCUGGCCCUGCCCCUGGUGGUCAGUGUCCUUAAUCUGGGUGCUUCUUACCUGUUCCGUGGUCUGGCCACUCUGGAGCGGCAUGACUCCCCCGUGUUGGAAGUAUACAUGGCCAUCUGCAGGAGUCUCAUCCUGAAGAUGGCUGUCCUGGGUGUGCUUUGCUAUCACUGGCUGGGCCACAGGGUGGCCACCUUGCAGGGCCAGUGCUGGGAGGACUUUGUGGGCCAGGAACUGUACCGCUUCCUGGUCGUGGAUUUCAUCUUCACACUCUUGGACUCUCUUUUUGGGGAGCUGGUAUGGAGGCUCAUCUCAGAGAAGAAGCUGAAAAGGAGGCAGAAGCCUGAGUUCGACAUUGCUCGGAAUGUUCUGGACCUGAUUUAUGGGCAGACACUUACCUGGCUGGGUGUCCUCUUCUCACCGCUCCUGCCCGCAGUGCAGAUACUCAGGCUGCUUUUCCUCUUCUACGUUAAGAAGGCAAGCCUGAUGGCCAACUGCCAGGCACCUCGCCGACCCUGGCUGGCGUCACACAUGAGCACCGUCUUCCUCACCCUGCUCUGCUUCCCGUCGUUCCUGGGCGCGGCUGUUUUCCUCUGCUAUGCCGUCUGGCAAGUGAAGCCCUCAAGCAUUUGUGGCCCCUUCCGGACUCUGAACACCAUGUACGAGGCGGGCACGGUCUGGGUGCGUCGCCUGGAGCAUGCCGGCUCCGGGGCCUCCUGGCUGCCCUGGUUGUACCACUUCCUGGUGGAGAACACUUUCUUCCUUUUCCUCAUGUCAGCCCUGCUGUUGUCUGUCAUCUACCUCAACAUCCAGGUGGUGAAAGGGCAGCGGAAGAUCAUCCGCCUGCUCAGGGAGCAGAUCCGGAACGAGGGAGAGGACAAGAUCUUCCUGAUCAACAAGCUUCACUCUGUUUAUGAGGAUGGGGAGCGGAGCAGGACACAGUGAGGUUGAUGUCCUGCACUGGAGGCAUCUCAGAACACCCAGUCAUCAUGGACCUCAGGCUAUCUUGUGGGGGAACCCAAGAUCCCCUGUGUUGAUGGCAGGCAUUUCCUGAGGGGGCUGUUACUGUAAGCCGCUCCACACAAGGCCCAUGAUACUCCAGUUUUGGACCACAAAGUGGCCAGUUGAUGUGGUCCAGCAGCUCUCCCCGGCAAAUGCCUGGAAUAUAAUCCCUGGUGGCUCUUCACACUACUCUGCCAGUCUGGCCUUCACUGCCCUAGAGCCUUCAACCUGGGAGGCCUGAGAUGCAUCACCUGGGACUCAGGGCAUCCACUGAGCCCCUAACCACAGAGGUCAGAGGGACUUUGACAUUGGUUGAGGUUACUCUCCUUUCUGGCAGAACUCAGGAGGCUACCACGGCAACUGCCCUGCUUGUGGAUGGAGGGGACAGAAAGGAACCUUGCACCCCCAGUCACUGUGACCCUUCAAGCAG